AUUGAACGCUGGCGGCAGGCCUAACACAUGCAAGUCGAGCGGAUGAAGGGAGCUUGCUCCUGGAUUCAGCGGCGGACGGGUGAGUAAUGCCUAGGAAUCUGCCUGGUAGUGGGGGAUAACGUCCGGAAACGGGCGCUAAUACCGCAUACGUCCUGAGGGAGAAAGUGGGGGAUCUUCGGACCUCACGCUAUCAGAUGAGCCUAGGUCGGAUUAGCUAGUUGGUGGGGUAAAGGCCUACCAAGGCGACGAUCCGUAACUGGUCUGAGAGGAUGAUCAGUCACACUGGAACUGAGACACGGUCCAGACUCCUACGGGAGGCAGCAGUGGGGAAUAUUGGACAAUGGGCGAAAGCCUGAUCCAGCCAUGCCGCGUGUGCGAAGAAGGUCUUCGGAUUGUAAAGCACUUUAAGUGGGGAGGAAGGGCAGUAAGUUAAUACCUUGCUGUUUUGACGUUACCAACAGAAUAAGCACCGGCUAACUUCGUG
rnacentral:rRNA from 1 species